UGGGGAGGGAGGGCUAUCGCCGGUGGGGCGGACACUUGGCGGGGGUGGGCGUGUUCAUCCGGGCAUGUUCACUACGGAAAAAGCCGAGGGUCAAGUACCGCACUUUAGAGAAGGUUUGACGGAACAGAGACCGGGAGGGGCGAGUGGAGAGAUAGGAGGAGGCCUUGGGAGGACAAGGUGCCAGACCCGGAACCCAGGUUCUGAAGAGGGCGGGCAAGGGGACGGAGUGGAUAGGUCAGCAGUGUCCCAGGCGCACAGGGCUAAGCAAGAUCACGGAAAGUAGGAAUGGAAAAAUUAGUGCUUGACUCCUUGGAGUAGGUUAACCAUCAUCUUCCUCCCAAGCUGUUUUUACAUCCAUCUGCGUGGGGAUUUUUUCUGCUGGUGGCACAAAAAUAAAUCUUUGAUACAGCUCUGAUUAUGUGAAUUAUACAACAGGGAAUCCAAGGCACUAUUGUUUUACUCCUAAGUAACCCAGUGCAGUUAAAGCCCUUUGCGGAAGAGUUGGUCCAAGACGAGAGAGGGGAAGAACGUUCGUAUAGCUCUGGCCUCGGGUUUGCCCAGUGCAGGAGGCCGCUCAGGCGCAAUACCCGACGAACGUGGAGAGAGCGGGGAGUGAGGGGACGAGGAGCCCAGGCAAGGGGAUUAGGCACUCAAUCCUGGGACUCCGGUGCGACCGGGACCCAGGCGGCAGUGGACGCAGUGGCGAUAUUUGGGUUUGGUCUUACUCAGUAUUCGAACUGCGGCUUAAAUGGACCAGAAAACCCAGCUUGUGGGUACACUGCAAUCGCAUUCCUCCACGUCGUGAAGUUGGAAAGAUGUCCUUGAGCGACUUUUAAGUUACAUAAAACCAUGUCACAAAGUAAUAUGUAGGCGGUGACCCUAUUUUUGCUGAGAUAAAAUUACCUGGAGUGUGAGCGCGCUCGCUGAUAUGAGUUUCUAAGGACGUGCACCAACCAGCGAGGCCAGAGUCACCACUGAGAGGUCAGGGUUCCUGGUCGUCUGUCAUUUCUGCCACACAUUUCCGUACAUUUUAUGAACAUUUUGCGAAUAAGUAUGUAUUGCUCUGUAUAUUUUGAUAAAACGAUAAUGAAAAGUCCUGCCCCCUUACCAGGCGCCCUGUCGUGAAGGGACUACCCAGGUUUCGCUUCUCGGGGUGGAUGACCCAGCCGGUCCACUACCCUUACAAGCCCGGCGUCCAACUCUCUCCCGGGAGCUCGCGGUUCUCUCCUGGAGCCCCCCGGCUCUCCCAGCCUCUGCGCCCCGCUCCUGGGCAUCCAGAUACGCCUUACUUGGGCUCCCUUGGGAGACAGCGUCCCAUUCCCAGAGCGGAUGGAUGCCCCUUUCAGCUGUCCGAGUAGCACUAGCGGGGAGGCGCUCAUUCUGAUUCCAGGACAUCUCAGAGGGCUGAAGAGAUACGGCGAGUUAUACUGCUUGGAGCCACCCGAUAUCACGAGCUGAAGGCCCUCAUCUAUAUCCUAAGGGUCCAAGGAUUCCUGCCCUCAGGAGCUCACAGUCUGGUGGGGAAGACAGACAUUCAGAUUGAGAGAUGAAGAUGAAGAUCUGAAGCCACCUUUUGGAUAGCUUGAUUUAAGAUUCGGAAGAUGACUGGAAGAAAGAACAACAAAAUCAAGAAUAAACAUAAAGAAAUACCCGUGUUUAACAGAAUGUUUUUAAGACUAUGCUUUUGAAUAAAGGAAUUUAAGGAAUCAAUAAAUUGUUUGGCUAUUUGAGAAGAGGAAAAAUCUUUUUCUGCUUUUGUAAUAUCUUGUAUUUCCAUAUGUAAUUUGUCAAUAUUAAAACUCAAAUCGGAAUGAUUCCAUAUGCCCUGGAUAUGAUUUUUGAUUUUUUCCCAAUUAUGUAUGUAUGGUAGUAUUUACAGGCAGUGGAGUAACACAAAUCCAUUUGAAACUUACAUGGCAUCUCAAAGUAAGUCGCACUUUGAGAUUAGUGAUUUCUUGUCCUAUAUAUAGAAUUGCUUCUUCAAGGGCAUUAAUUUCUUGUUGUAAUUUUCUAUCAAUGGCUUCUUGUGUGGCUAAGGCUAAAGUAAUAUUUUUACUUAAAUUAUCUACAUAGUUUGCCGUAUGAAUCUGUUGUGUUAACGCCAUAGCAGAAAGUGAAAGAGAAGUUGCUAAAGCUAUGAGAGCGGAAAUCCCCAGUAUUAAAGCUGCUACAAACCGUUUGGCUCGAGAUAAAAUAGCAGAAGCUUGUUUUAAGGCUUCUAGGCCUGAAUCAUCAUACCAAUCUUCUUGUAAAUGUACAGGAAUCAUAAUAUAUUUUGGCUGUUGUAAAAUCAUCAUACUUUCGACAGGAAUUGCAGGGUUUAUACAACUGGUCAGUAUACAAUCUUCACAAGAACUAACAUAAUGUGUUUUCUUGUUUUCUAUAACAAUACUAGAGUGAUUGUUGCGGCUAAUUAAUAACACAUAUGGAGCAGGUACACAAGCUUGAAUAUCAAAACUCUCAUUAUUAAAAGGACGGGACAAAGUGACAUUGCCGGCAGCAGUUGCCAGUCUCCACAAAGAUGGAUGUAUGUUACCCGUGAAGGUAGAAAGAAUAGGGGGAACCCAUCCAUUUA